CAACUCAAAAUCGAUUCAGUGAGUAAACAUGUAAACUUUAGAAUUUGAUACCCUUUUGGUAUCCACUGCAUCAUUGUAGCUACAAGUUGUGGGUGUUUGUAUAUGUUUCUUAAUCAGAACUAAUGAAUGAUCCAAUUUGUAUUGCUAUUUUCAGUCCAAUACUAAUUAUUUGGAAGAGGUUCUGAAGUGUGUGACUGCUGAAAACAAAAAAUUGGCUGAAAUGCUCUUCAUGUGCUUGCCAAAAUGAUUUCAUCUCUGGGUUUAUUAUUGCCUUUUAUUUUUUUAAAACUUUUCCUUACAAAUUCUAGAACUAGAAGUUGAUGGCAUCCAUGUUGUGUCUAUUGAAGUAGAUCUCAAUUCUCUUCUCUUUUGCUGGAAAACUUAGUUAUUGCACAGUCAUCUUUGACAUGAAUAUUCAAAGACUUAAAUAUUAGCCUCCCAACUAUGUUUAUAUCUUUUUAAAGGUUUAUAUAAUUUUGUUUUGCCUUGCUCUUGAAUAUUGGAAAGUUACAUUUUUAUUUAAGAUAACAAUAUAAGAAAACAGACAAAAAAUUGGACCCUUUUCUUCUGCUACUUUAUUGUGCAUGUGUCUUACUAUGUUGUCUUAAUUGUGUGUUUUUACCUGAAAUGGCAGUUACUACAAUUGAUUCUGGGACCAAAGCUUUAGAAUUUCUGGCCUUGCGUGAGAACGAUGAUAGCACCAAAAAUACACCAUCUAUUUCUCCUAACGAUCAUCAGAUUGUGGAGGCCCUGUGUUCGAGUUAUUUGGGUCCUGAUUUUUCUCAGCCUAAAGAAUAUGGUGAGAUAUCAUUAAAGGACACUGAUCAAGUUGCCAAGAGCUCAUUUCCUUUGUGCAUGCGUCGCCUAUUUGAAAAGCUGAGAGAGGAUCAUCAUUUAAAGCAUGCAGGGAGGAUGCAACUAGGCUUAUUUCUGAAGGGUGUUGGCCUGAACGUAGAUGAUUCACUUGCAUUUUGGAGAGAGGAGUUCUCUAAAAAGGUUGGUCUGGAGAAGUUUGAGAAAGAUUAUGCAUACAACAUACGCCAUAAUUAUGGGAAAGAAGGGAAGAAAACUGAUUAUACUCCCUAUUCUUGUCAAAGGAUUAUUUUAUAAUGGUUGCCCUUAUCGACAUUUUGGGUGAGUGUUAUGAUCUGAUGAACGAUCAGCGAGGAGAAUGUAAGAGCUGCUCUCAGUAGAAUGGGGGUUAAUAGUCGGGCAAUGGAAGAUGUGAUGGGCAAAGUGAGAAAUAGAGAUUAUUUGGUUGGUCUCAACAUAACCUACUGAAAUAGGGAUUUGGUUUGAUGUCUGAGAACGAUAUGGAUACUGUAUGUGCAGUUGGCCUGCACCUUGACAUUUGAAGCUCUUCAUGCAGCGCCAUGUGAUGCAGGGAUUAACCAUCCAAAUCAAAGGCUAUUAAAGGCGAAGAAGGACUCUUCAACGUAAGAAUUUUGUUUAUCGCAAUGGACAGAGUACUGUGGCCCCUCCCAGGAGAAAUACAUAGAGACAAUGUUGCACAGAUUUCAAAUGGAUAAAGCAAAGGCUGUUAGUACUUCUCUUGCUACACACUUCAAAUUGAGUUGCAAGCAAAGUCCAUCAAGUGAUGAAGAGAAGAAAGACAUGGAAAAAGUUUCAUAUGCAUCAGCCGUGGGUAGCAUAAUGUAUGCUAUAGUGUGCACAAGACCGGAUAUAGCUCAUGCUGUUGGUUGUGUUAGCCGUUUUGUUUCAAACCCAGGAAGAGAGUAUUGGAAUGCUGUAAAAUGGAUAAUGAGAUAAGCCUAUUCUAACAUGAAGUUGUGUUAUGGAAGUGAUAAGCCUAUUCUAGUUGGUUACACUGACUCAGACAUGGCAGGAGAUAUUGAUUCUAGAAGGUCCAUUUCAGGCUUCUUGAUCAACUUUGCGGGUGGAGCUGUGUCUUGGCAAUCAAGAUUGCAAAAAUGUGUUGCUUUGUCUACUACCGAGGCCAAGUUUAUUGCCAUUACCGAAGCGUGCAAGGAGAUGCUUUGGAUGAAGAAAUUCUUGAAGGAACUCGGGUCUACUUAAGAGAGGUAUGUGUUGUUUUGUGAUAGUCAAAGUGCUAUACAUCUUGGUAAAAAUUCUACUUUUCAUUCUCGGUCCAAACAUAUUGAUGUGAGGUAUCAUUGGAUACAUGAUAUUUUGGAUGCUGAGUUAUUGGAACUUGAAAAGGUUCAUACUGAUGAGAAUGGUUCUGAUAUGAUGACCAAGGCAUUACCAAGAUGGAAGUUUGAAGUUUGUUGCUUAAUCGCCGGAUUGGCGGUUACCUCCACAUAGUCGUGAGGGAGAGAUUUGUUGGGUUUUUGGACUCCCUUCCUAUGUGGAGAAAAAGUCCAAAUGCUAGUAUCCAAGCCCAUGAAUAGUUGAAGUGGAUGAGGUGAUUUAGGGUUGAGUGAGAGAUAGGUCAUUUUGCAAGAGAACACCAAACACUAGAAAGAAGAGAAGAGAGAAAGUCAUUUUCGCACAUACACAAAGCUGUCUCUGUAAAUUGGUCACUGCAGAUUCGUUAACCGUUGGAUUGAGCUCAAAUUUGGACAGUAUGUUCUACACAUCUGGUUCUUUGAUUUUACCGUUCGGAUCUGCAAUUAGACAUCUGUAUCUAGAGAUAUUGGCCACGCACAGUAGCUCUGUUUUUGUGGUAUUUUCAUCUUCUUGUUCUUGUUUUGUAAGCUUUGAAGCUUGAGUUGUUUGGCUUGUUGUAUGCACGUUUUGUGCAGUAAUUUGUGACUCUCUUGUACCCUAUUUUUCAUCAUA